AAAUAGAUACCCGGUAGUCCACGCCGUAAACGAUGAGUGCUAAGUGUUAGGGGGUUUCCGCCCCUUAGUGCUGCAGCUAACGCAUUAAGCACUCCGCCUGGGGAGUACGGUCGCAAGACUGAAACUCAAAGGAAUUGACGGGGGCCCGCACAAGCGGUGGAGCAUGUGGUUUAAUUCGAAGCAACGCGAAGAACCUUACCAGGUCUUGACAUCCCAUUGACCGCUAUGGAGACAUAGCUUUCCCUUCGGGGACAGUGGUGACAGGUGGUGCAUGGUUGUCGUCAGCUCGUGUCGUGAGAUGUUGGGUUAAGUCCCGCAACGAGCGCAACCCUUGUUCUUAGUUGCCAUCAUUUAGUUGGGCACUCUAAGGAGACUGCCGGUGACAAACCGGAGGAAGGUGGGGAUGACGUCAAAUCAUCAUGCCCCUUAUGACCUGGGCUACACACGUGCUACAAUGGACGGUACAAACGGGUUGCCAACCCGGCGAGGGGGAGCUAAUCCGAUAAAACCGUUCUCAGUUCGGAUUGUAGGCUGCAACUCGCCUAC
rnacentral:rRNA from 1 species